UGCAUGGUGGCGCAGUUGGUAGCACUGUGGCCUCGCAGCAAGAAGAUCCUGGGUUCGAUUCCCGGCCGGGGGUCUUUCUGCAU